GACGAACGCUGGCGGCGUGCUUAACACAUGCAAGUCGAACGGAAAGGCCCUGCUUGCAGGGUACUCGAGUGGCGAACGGGUGAGUAACACGUGGGUGAUCUGCCCUUCACUUCGGGAUAAGCCUGGGAAACUGGGUCUAAUACCGGAUAGGAGCCAUUUUUAGUGUGAUGGUUGGAAAGUUUUUUCGGUGUAGGAUGAGCUCGCGGCCUAUCAGCUUGUUGGUGGGGUAAUGGCCUACCAAGGCGGCGACGGGUAGCCGGCCUGUGAGGGUGGACGGCCACACUGGGACUGAGAGACGGCCCCGGCUCCUAAGGGAGGCAGCAGGGGGGAAUAUUGCACAAUGGGCGCAAGCCUGAUGCAGAGACGCCGCGUGGGGGAUGACGGCCUUCGGGUUGUAAACUCCUUUCGCUAGGGACGAAGCUUUUUGUGACGGUACCUAGAUAAGAAGCACCGGCUAACUACGUG
rnacentral:rRNA from 1 species